UACGUAGGGUGCAAGCGUUGUCCGGAAUUAUUGGGCGUAAAGAGCUCGUAGGCGGUUUGUCGCGUCGGCUGUGAAAACCUGGGGCUCAACCCCGGGCCUGCAGCCGAUACGGGCAAACUAGAAUUCGGUAGGGGAGACUGGAAUUCCUGGUGUAGCGGUGAAAUGCGCAGAUAUCAGGAGGAACACCGGUGGCGAAGGCGGGUCUCUGGGCCGAUAUGACGCUGAGGAGCGAAAGCGUGGGGAGCGAACAGG
rnacentral:rRNA from 1 species